rnacentral:rRNA from 1 species
CGCACCCUACGGGACGCAGCAGUGGGGGAUAUUGCACAAUGGGGGGAACCCUGAUGCAGCGACGCCGCGUGGGCGAUGGAGCGCCUCGGCGCGUAAAGCCCUAUCAGCAGGGAAGAAGAUGACGGUACCUGACUAAGAAGCCCCGGCUAAAUACGUGCCAGCAGCCGCGGUAAUACGUAUGGAGCAAGCGUUAUCCGGAUUUACUGGGUGUAAAGGGAGCGCAGGCGGCAUGGCAAGUCAGAUGUGAAAGCCCGGGGCUCAACCCCGGGACUGCAUUUGAAACUGUCAGGCUGGA